UAUAGUUACUUAAUUUAUCUUAUAGUUACAUUACAUUGCAACUAUUAUUUACAAAGAGUGGAGGUAUCCAUGUGUUUUUUAUAUCUAUCAGAUUUGAUUUUUCAAGUGAUGAGUCUCACCGUAUGGAAACCAGUUAUAAUAUCACAACAAAGCUUCUUUAGAAGAACUACACCAGCAUCAUUAAAUUACUACAAUGUAGUAGUAGAACAAUACAUUAUCAUCGAUUUUACAUACACACCAACUAAAAUUACUCAUUCCAAUUCUAACAACAUAAAAUUGGUUUUAAAUUAUUUAAAAAUGUCACUCAAUUAA